UACGAAGGGGGCUAGCGUUGCUCGGAAUCACUGGGCGUAAAGGGUGCGUAGGCGGGUCUUUAAGUCAGGGGUGAAAUCCUGGAGCUCAACUCCAGAACUGCCUUUGAUACUGAGAAGCUUGAGUCCGGGAGAGGUGAGUGGAACUGCGAGUGUAGAGGUGAAAUUCGUAGAUAUUCGCAAGAACACCAGUGGCGAAGGCGGCUCACUGGCCCGGUACUGACUGCUGAGGUGCGAAAGCGUGGGGAGCAAAGCAGGAUUAAGAAACCC
rnacentral:rRNA from 1 species